GGCAGGAUGAAGCAAGCAGCCCAUGAGCAAGCACAAGGCAAGAAGAUGGCAUGAAGAUUGUGGAGUCAAAUCACCUCACCGCUAUCCCAUACGCCAGAACUUGGAAGUUAUUCCUCAAUGAGAGUUCAUGCCAGGCUUUGGCUAUAAUUGUGACCAACUUCAAUUUGUUUUGAGUAUCCAGUGAAUUAUGGGGAUAAUGUCUCUGUGUUUCUUACAGAUGGGCAAAUCUAAUACACAUGGAGGCUUGAUUUUGGCCAGCACUUUGGUAUUUGGAGAUACUUUUAUCCUGCUUCUGAGAUAUCAAGACUUUGAACAUGGUGAUGGAAGUGUGCAGGUGUUUGUCAUGGGAUUGGGAUCUAUACUGAAGGCUUGCCAACCAGUUCAAAUUAACUUCAAUGGAAACUAUCACAAGACAAUCUAACUUGGGAUAGCUUGGUCGUUGUUGUAUCAAUUAUUAUUUAAACGACGAUCUUCCUCGUGGUAAUAUCUUUUUCGUAGUGGUUCAUUUUCUUCCUCCUCCUUCCUUCGAAGAAAUCCAAGAAAACUUUGAAGCUUUAAAUAAAUCUCGUCAAGCCCACAAGAAUAAAUCUCUACUUCUACCUCAAGCCAUUUUUUUCCCUCUGUGUUUCCCUUUCUCCUCCACUCGAUUCCUUAAGAAUAUGUGAACGCAUACACAAAUGUCAACCGUUAGUCGUUGGUGAGACCUAAUCAAUCUUCCUGGAGUUUCUCAGCAAUGUCCCACAUGAAUAAAUAACCCUAACCCUGCAUGUCAACAUCAAAGCACAUGGUUUUAUAGCUUGGACUAGCAAUGGUAAGUCCGUUGGUUCCAUCAUUCCAUUGAAGCACCUAGGUUCAAGUAUUAAAAUAAGAGAGAGCACCUUACAAUAUCCUGAAUUGUUUGCUGCAUAUAAAUAACCCUUUCCUCUUCACCUCUCCACUAAACCAACCAAAGCCUGGUACACAAAGCUUGUGAUUGGAUUUUGCACUAUAAAUAGCCCUUUUCCUCUUCACCUCUCCACCAGACCAACCAAAGCCUGGUAUCUACAAAGCUAGUGACAAUGGAGGCAUUAUACCCCAGCUCAGAGUUCAACUUGAAAGAGGUGCCAAGAGGACGUCUGAGCUACUUGAUCGGAGGAGGCGGCGUCACUGUUUCCGUUCUCUUUGUCUGCUGGAUGCUGUAUGUGUUGAUGAACAAAUACAACUUCUCCAUAGGUUGUAAAUGCUCCAUCUCCAAGUCCCAAUUGCGUGACAUUGAGUCAGUCCCAAGCUAAUGACAUUUAAUUUAUAUACAAGGGAUUUCUGGACUUUGAUUCGACUAGUCUGUGCAUCUUCAUGCUAGCUUGGGUUUUUAUUUUUUCUUAAAAAAAGAUGACAAGUCAUUUUUAUUCGAAAUAAAAAUUUAGUGAUUUUUUGUGCUAUAUAUGUAAUUAAAAAAAAUAAAAAAUAGAUUCCCA